rnacentral:rRNA from 1 species
CCUACGGGAGGCAGCAGUGAGGAAUAUUGGUCAAUGGACGAGAGUCUGAACCAGCCAAGUAGCGUGAAGGAUGACUGCCCUAUGGGUUGUAAACUUCUUUUAUAAAGGAAUAAAACGAGGCACGUGUGCCUUUUUGCAUGUACUUUAUGAAUAAGGAUCGGCUAACUCCGUGCCAGCAGCCGCGGUAAUACGGAGGAUCCGAGCGUUAUCCGGAUUUAUUGGGUUUAAAGGGAGCGUAGAUGGGUUGUUAAGUCAGUUGUGAAAGUUUGCGGCUCAACCGUAAAAUUGCAAUUGAUACUGGCAGUCUAGAGUACAGUUGAGGUAGGCGGAAUGCGUGGUGUAGCGGUGAAAUGCUUAGAUAUCACGAAGAACCCCGAUUGCGAAGGCAGCUUACUAAACUGUGACUGACAUUGAUGCUCGAAAGUGUGGGUAUCAAACAGGAUUAGAUACCCUUGUAGUC